rnacentral:rRNA from 1 species
AUUGAACGCUGGCGGCAGGCCUAACACAUGCAAGUCGAGCGGAUGAAGGGAGCUUGCUCCUGGCUUCAGCGGCGGACGGGUGAGUAAUGCCUAGGAAUCUGCCUGGUAGUGGGGGAUAACGUCCGGAAACGGGCGCUAAUACCGCAUACGUCCUGAGGGAGAAAGUGGGGGUUCUUCGGACCUCACGCUAUCAGAUGAGCCUAGGUCGGAUUAGCUAGUUGGUGGGGUAAAGGCCUACCAAGGCGACGAUCCGUAACUGGUCUGAGAGGAUGAUCAGUCACACUGGAACUGAGACGCGGUCCAGACUCCUACGGGAGGCAGCAGUGGGGAAUAGUGGAAGAUGGGCGAAAGACUGAUCAAGCCAUGCAGCGUGGGUGAAGAAGGUCUUCGGAUGGGAAAGCACUUUAAGUUGGGAGGAAGGGCAGUAAGUUAAUACCUGGCUGUUUUGACGGUACCAACAGAAGAAGCACCGGCUAACUUCGUG